rnacentral:lncRNA from 1 species
GAAGAUUUCUGGAGAAGCUUAGUUAAGGUUUUCUGUGGAGAAGGGGGUACCAGGGUGCUUAACCACUGAGCCACCCUUUUUAUUUUGAGACGGCGUCUCACUAAGUUGCUUAGAACCUUGCUAAAUUGCUGAGGCUGGCCUUGAACUUGUGAUCCUCCUGUCUCAGCCUCACAAGUCUCUUCUCUGGGAUUACAGGCGAGCACCACCAUGCCCUGCUAACAACUGUCAUUUCAAAUUAGGCCAAAUGGAACUUGGUUUGGUCCCUGCUCUUGCCCUGAACUCGAGGGCUGAAACUGCAAAGAUAAAGCUCUUGUCUUCUCUGCCCUCUGCAGAGAGGAGAAAUAACAGGGUUUCCUGCCCCACCCCCCCAGGAUCAUGGAGUUGAGUAUCAGGAAUUAGGAGUCACCUUUUGCUCUUGGUCCAGAAACUUUAGCUUCAGGCCAGCGCUAUGGACCAAAUGUGUGCCUCCCCUACUGCCCACCUGUUCAUGUACCGACCCCCUAGCUCCCAGGUGAUAGUACAGUCACCCUCGAUAUCUGUAGGUUCUGCUUUCACUGAUUCAACCAACUUUCGAUAAAAAAGAUUUUUAAAAUUGCAUCUGUCCUGAACACGAAGAGACUGUUUUCUUGCCGUGAUUCCCCAGAUGAUACAGUA